CUAAGCGUAUACGGGCGCACGACGGAUGCCUUGGCAUCAGGAGGCUAUGAAGGACGCGGAAGACUGCGAUAAUCCUCGGGGAGCCGUCAACGGGCUUUGAUCCGGGGGUGUCCGAAUGGGGCAACCCGGCUACCCUCAUCGGUAGCCAUCGGCGGAUGAAUACAUAGUCCGCCGAAGCCACACGCAGGGAAGUGAAACAUCUCAGUACCUGCAGGAAAAGAAAUCUAUGAGAUUGCGUGAGUAGUGGCGAGCGAAAGCGCAGGAGCCCAAACCGGGAAGCUUGCUUCCCGGGGUUGCGGGACCGGGACGUGACACCGGAAAGGCUAGGAGAAGCCGCUGGAAAGCGGCGCCACAGCGGGUGAAAGCCCCUUAUCCGAAAGCCCGACCGGGUCUACCGUCAUCCCAACUAGGGCGGAGCACGUGAAACUCCGUCCGAAUCCGGGGGGACCACCCUCCAAGGCUAAAUACUCCCUGAUGACCGAUAGUGAACAAGUACCGCGAGGGAAAGGCGAAAAGAACCGCUGCUAGCGGAGUGAAACAGACCUGAAAUCGUGCGUCCACAAGCUAUGGAAGCGUCCUUCGGGACGCGACCGUUUGCCUUUUGCAUAAUGAGUCCGCGAGUCACCGUGGCGAGCGAGCCUAACCGAAAGGGGAGGCGAAGCGAAAGCGAGUCCGAACAGGGCGAUCCCAGUUCGUCGCGGUGGACCCGAAGCCCAUGCGAGCUAUCCUUGGCCAGCGUGAAGCCCCCGUAACAGGGGGUGGAGGUGCGAACGAGUCACCGUUGAAAAGGUGUUCGACGAGCUGAGGAUUGGAGCGAAAGACUUAUCAAGCUGGGUAAUAGCUGGUUCUCUCCGAAAUGCCUUUAGGGGCAGCGUCGGGCAACACGUCGCGCGGGUGUAGAGCACUGAUCGAUCUAGGGUCCCCACCGGGAUACCGAAGUCCGUCAAACUCCGAAGACCGCGCCGAUCGCAUACCCGGCAGUGAGACAGUGGGGGCUAAGCUUCAUUGUCGAAAGGGAAACAGCCCAGGACCGCCGAAUAAGGUCCCAAACUUAAGUUAAGUCACUAAGGCAGUGAAGUCUCUUGGACAGGUAGGAUGUUGGCUUAGAGGCAGCCAUCAUUUAAACAGUGCGUAAUAGCUGACUACUCGAGAGACUCCGCGCCGAAAAUGAUCGGGAGUAAACUUAAGACCGAAUUCGCGGGCCGUUCCUUCAGGGAACGACGGUAGGAGAGCGUAGUUGGACGGGCCGAAGCGGUGCGCGGAAGCGGCCGUGGACUUCCAACUAGCGAUUAUGCGGACAUGAGUAACGAAAAACCGGAUGAGAAUUCCGGUCGCCGGAAUCCCAAGGUUUCCCGGGGCAGGUUCGUCCGCCCGGGGUCAGUCGGCACCUAAGGCCAGGCCGAAAGGCGUAGCCGAUGGACGGCAGGUCAACAUUCCUGCACCGGUAUGGAGGGUUCAGGCGCGCUGUCGGAGAAGGGCAGUGGCGGGGGUCAAUGGCUAUCCCCUGUACGGCGUUGAAGCGCCGGACCGAGUCCGGGAUCCGUCCCGGGCAAGGCCAUGCACCCAUGCUUCCCAGAAAAGCAGCGCGACACCGACAUGCCGGCCGUACCAAAACCGACACAGGUGGGAGGGUACAAAGAUACCAAGGCGCGCGGGAGAAACCUCGUUAAGGAACUCGGCAACAUAGCCCCGUAACUUCGGGAGAAGGGGUCCUCCAGGGCAAUGCCUGGAGGCGCAGUAAACGGGCCCAUGCGACUGUUUAACAAAAACAUAGCACUCUGCGAACUCGCAAGAGGACACAUAGAGUGUGACACGUGACCAAUGCGGAAAGGUCAAGGCAAGGGGUCAGCGGCAACGCGAAGCUCCGAACCAAAGCCCCCGUGAAUGUCGGCCGUAACUAUAACGGUCCUAAGGUAGCGAAAUUCCUUGUCGGGCAAGUUCCGACC
rnacentral:rRNA from 1 species